CGUAGCUGUUCGCUUUUCCUCCACGUCAGCUGCAUCUGCGCUCUGCUGUCAUCCACACAUACAGUACAUUAGGUUUCUUACUCUGGUAAUCGGACAGUAAAAUCCUUCCUGACGUGACAAUAAUCGCAUGGAGUGAUGUUUAAGAAACUGAAGCAGAAGGUGAUCGAGGAGCAGUCGCCUCAGCGGAGCAGCGCGCAGCAGGUGAGUUCAGGAGAGAGGCGUGCUCAUCUGCACCAAGAUGCCCCGAACCCGGCCUCUCCCAACGACAGAGAGGGCAUUAAAGCGGCCAGCAGCUCUCCGAGAGGCAGUGUGAACGGGGAUGGAAUCGCUUCUCCUCAGGCAAAGGAGUCUCAGUCUCUGGCCCAGAAGCUGCAGCAGAAGGUUUCUUCGGUGGAGUCUCUGCUCCGGGGUUCGGCCCGCGGUGAAGGGCUCUUUCGCUCCGGCUCCCGGGACAGUCUGGUCAGAAGCUCCUCCAGAGAAUCGCUCUCUCUCGUCGGAGAGAAUGAGGCCCAGUCGUCGCCGGCGUUCGACCCUCCGUCGGACAUCGAGAGCGAGGCGGAGGAUUCGCCCGGCAGCGCUGAGAGUCUGUCUAAAGAGCAGCUCUUGAACCGCCUGCACCGGGUCGAGAGAAGCCUCGGGAACUACAGGGGGAAGUACUCCGAGUUGGUUACAGCUUACCGAACCGUACUCCGGGAUAAAGAGAAAACGCAGGCCAUCCUCAGCCAGAGUCAAGAUAAAGCCCUGAGAAGAAUAGGGGAGCUCAGGGAGGAGCUUCAGAUGGACCAGCAGGCCAAGAAACACCUGCAGGAGGAGUUUGAUGCUGCUCUGGAGGAGAAGGACCAGAUGAUCAGUGUGCUUCAGACGCAAGUGUCUCUGUUGAAGAAGCGUCUGCAGACGUCUGGAGCUGUGCUUUCCUCCGAGGUAGAGACCUCUCAGUCCACAGACACGGUCGAUGCAAACACCGACAUUCAGAGCCCCUCGAAAGAUGACGGCUCUGCACUUAACACAGCAGAGGGCAGCGGAGAGCCGGGCAGCGCGGUGGACCUUGAGGCUCUUCAGAAGCGAAUCAAAAGGCAAGAGAGUCUCCUGCAGAGAUGCAAAGAGAUGAUUCGAUCCAGUAAAGAGCGCAGCGCUCAGCUGAGCAGCGAGAACGAGGUUUUACAGCAGCAGCUGCAGGAGAGACUGCAAGAGCUUGAGAAAAUGAAGGAGCUGCACACUACAGAGAAGACGAAGCUGAUCACGCAGCUGGGAGACGCCAAGAACCUCAUCGAGCAGCUGGAGCAGGACAAGGGAAUGGUCAUUGCUGAAACCAAGCGUCAGAUGCACGAGACUUUAGAGAUGAAGGAAGAGGAGAUCGCUCAGCUGCGCUCCAGACUCCAGCAGACCCUCGCUCAGAAAGACGAGCUGCAGGAGCAGAAAGAGAAAUCAGAGAAAGCAGCGUUUGAAGAGCUGGAGCGAGCUCUAGGUGUGGCUCAGCGGGCGGAGGAGGCGCGCCGUCAGCUGCAGGUGAGCGUUGAGGAGCAGGUGAAGCAGGUGGAGAAGACCAGCGAGGAAGAGAGGAGAAGCUUGCAACAGGAGCUAACCAGGGUCAAACAGGAAGUGGUCACCAUUAUGAAGAAAUCCUCAGAGGACAGGAUAGCAGAAAUGGAGCGGUUACAUUCAGAGGCUUUGGCUAACAAAGAACAGGAACUGAGUGCCCAGAUCAAACAAGCUGUGGAGCAGUGUCGGGAGGAAUUGUUGAGGUCGGCACAGGAAAGAGAACAGCAGGCAUCUCUCGCUCUGGAAGAGGCAGAGCUGCAGAAAGCUGCAAUUCAGACUGAGGGAGAGAACAAAGCCAAGGAACUACAGCUAGAGUUGGAGUCGACCAGAACAAGAAUCCAAGAACUUGAGAGUUGUCUAGGUAGCACUGAAAAGGAUUCUGCCAAGUCGGAUGAACACUCUGUGCAACUGGAAGAGCUUAGAAAGAAACAUGAGGCUGAAAUAGCUGCUCUAGAAGAAGCACAUAAGCAAGAGCUAGAAAAGACAAAGACAGUGGAGAUAACAGCCCUUACCCAGCAGCAUGAUGCUGCUUUGGAGGAGCUUGUGCAGAAACAUAAAGCAGAAAUCCAAUCUAUACUGAAAGACAAGGAGGAACAGUUCCAUUCCCACGUGGAAGACAUGAACAAAAAGAUGCUUGAUAAACUGAGUGACAAACAAACUGAGAUUGAGACCCUGUCUUCUGAGCUUAGUGAGGUACUGAAUAGUAAACAGCAGUUAGAAGAAAGACUGUCCGCUGUGGAGACCACCAGUGAAACCACAAGACAAGAGUUUGAAGACAGACUCAAGGAAGAACAAGUAAAAUAUCAGGCUGAGAUUGAAGCUAUGAAACAGUCGUUUGCAGAGGUGGAGAAAAUGCUGAAAGGAGAGAUGAAUCAGCUGAAGAUUAUGUUGGAGGAGAAGGAAAAAGCACUAGAGGAGCAUGUGCUUAAAGAAAUGACUUUAGAAGAAGGAAGUGUGCAGUUGGAGGAGCUCCGACUCAGGGAACAGUCAAAUAAAGAGGCCCUUGAGAAAUCAAGAUCUCAGAUAGGCACACUUACAGAAGAACUCCAGCAAACCAAGAAUCAAGUGAAAGAUCUUGAGCAAACCCUUGAGGCAAUGCGUAAUGAUAGUCAGGAGAAAGAAGUGUGUCUUGAACAAAAGACAAGUGAACUUCAGGAACUUAUGCAGAAGAUGGAGCAAGUCAAGAGAGAACUAUUGGAAAAAGAAAAUUUGCAUGAAGCUACCUGCAAUAAAAUGCAAGAGGAGCAAAACCGAUUGAGAAAGCAGCUGGAUGACCAGAAGAGUUCUCACGAGAAGAAACUUGAGAACAUUAGGAAAGACAUGGAUUGCAAGCUGAAAUCCCAGGAAAAUAAGAUGGAGAAAUUAAGACAGAAACACAAAGAAGCACAGGACAAGUUGAAGAAGCAGCUUCAGGAUCAAGAGGAGAAUGCCAAAGUGGAGUUAUCCAAGAAAGCUCAAGAGAUAGAACUGAAAGACCAGCAACUAAAGGAGAAGAUCCUUGAGAUGGCGCAAGCAAGCUCUGAGGGCCUCAGCACCAACAUGUCUGAUUUGGAGGCCAAUCACAAAGAGCACUUGGACAAGCUUCAGCUGACUCAUAAACAGGAGCAGGAAGAUCUUAUCCGUCGCUGGCAGGAGAAACUCAACCAGAAUGAGGAGGAGUUGCAAGAAACACAUGCUCAGUCUUUGCAAGAAAAAGCCCAAGAGUUGGAGGAGAUCUCUCAGCUGCUUUCGGCCAGCAGGGAAGAAAAGGAACAGGUUAUGAAAGACAUCCAGAACCUCAGGGAGGAGCUUGCCAUGAGGGAAACCACCGUGCAAAAACUACAGACAGAGCUCAGGGAGGCUGCAAGCAAGCUAGAAAGUUUAUCUGAAGGGGAGGGUUUACUUAAAAGACAAGCCGAAUCCAUGGAAAAGAAUCUGAACCAGGCCUUGAAUGAAAGAAGCCUUUUGCAGGACGAACUGAGAAAGGCUGAGGAAACUAGUAAGGAGAGAUUGCAGAGUAUAUCUGAAGAGUUGGUAAACACCCAACAAAAGCUGAAUAUGCUAGAAACGUCCAAAUGUAAAGAGGGUGAAGAUCUCCAGAGGAAACUUGAAGAAAAAACUGCUGAACUCCAAAAUAAAGAAAAAGAGUUCCAGACACAGUUGUGUGCCAUCACAAAAGAAUUGAAGCAGUGUUGUCAGGAAGCCCAGGCUAAGUUAGAUGGGUUCUCUAUUGACCUGUGUAAGAAAGUUGAGGAACGUGUUGGGGAGUUACAACGCCGGGUCGUAGAUCAUCUGAAUAAGGUCACAUAUCUACGAAAUAUUAUCAUGAUGAAGGACAACAGAAUUAGCACUUUAGAGAAAGAACUUCAGCAGGCUUUGGAUGAGAACCAUAAUCUAAAGAGCUCUCUUGAUGAAGUGACACUUCAGUUAAGUUCAAGUUCAGAGACUCUUAAAGCCUUACAGAUCGAAAGGGAGUCUCUGCAAACCGAUGCAGAUAAUCGCUCCCAGGUACUUUCUGAGAAACACCUUCAAAUGCAGCAGCUCUGUGAGGAAAAAGAACACAUAUCAGAAAAUCUCAAAGCAAAUGUUGUGCAACUCAGCAAUCUAGAAUCUGUCAUAAAUGACUUGAAGACCCAGUUAGCAAGUAGCAUAACUGAGAAAGAGCAAGCCAUAUCUCUGCUGAAUCAGCAGCACAGUGAGGACAAGGAAAGAGUAACAUGCCAGAUGGGGGAGACGGUGGAAAGGCUAGAAAAAGAGAAGACCUCGCUUCAAGAGCAGGUAGACUCACUCAGGAAUAAGUUCUCUGAGCUGAAAAAGAAGUUCAGUCAGAAUCACAGCACUGUUAAAUCUCUUCAAGAUAAAGUUGCAGACAUGGAGAGGCAGAUUGCGACAAAGGACGGACAACUUCAGAUGCUCACUGCCAGCAUUGACAAUCACUCCAUUACCAAGUCCGAGAUGGACCAGGCUCUUAAUGAGAAAGAACAGAGGGUUCAUGCCUUGACCUCAGAGCUAGAAAGCUGCUCAAAAAAAGUUUGUGAUCUGGAGGAGCAGCUAGAGUUGCGGACAAAAGAGCGGGAACAGCUCGCAGCUGAUUUGCAGCAGCACCUUACUAUUAGGGAGAAUGAAAAGAUUGAGUUGAUGAAGCAGGUGCAGGAAGCUCAGGACCAAAGCUCUCAAAAUGGUGCCCUAAUGCAGAAAACUGAGCAAAGUCUUCAGUCUUUGAGGAAAGACGUUGAAACUGCCAAGCAGGAACUGGAAUCCCAGCGGAAAGACUUUGAGAGGGAGAAGACUGAUAUUCUGAGGGCGAAUGAAGAGGCUGUGAAGGCAGCACAAGAAAAGGCAUCCGCUGAAACGGCUGGUAAAGUAGCUGAGUUGAAGAAGAAGGCAGAGCAAAAGAUCGGCAUGAUUCGUAAACAGUUGACGUCACAAAUUGAGGAAAAGGAGAAGGCUAUCAAAGCCUUGCAGAUGCAGUUGGAAGCCAUGAAGCAAACCCAUAAUGAAAAAGAACAACGUAUAAAGGCUCUAGAGGAAACUGAGAGGUCAAUGGAGGAGGCCACUGCAAAAUUGAAGGAAGAGCAUGCAAAACAUCAACAGGAAUUACAGCAGAAAGAAAACGAGGAAAGUCAGGCCUCUCUGAAAAACGUAAAAGAUAUCUAUGAAGAGAAGCUUGCUGCUCUUCGUAAAGACUUUUCUGCAAAAGAGGAGCAAUCUGCUACUGCUGCUAUAGAAGCUUCUUCAAGACUUGGAGAGCUUGAAACCAAACUCUCAGAAUCUAAUGAGCAGAUUGCAAACUACCAAACUGAGGUAAGUCGCCUUAAAGUAGACCUGCUUGAACAGACAACUCGAGUGCAGGAGCUCCAGCAGACUUGCUUGGAUCUUCAAGAACAGAUCAAGGAGAAACAGAUUGAUGAAGUUGAGAAGGAACAUGUUUCUGUGCAAAUGUCCAGCAGUAGAUUGGGAAUGGAGCCAACAGCGUUAGUGGCCAAGGAAAACAUGCAUGCUAUCAGGAACCAAGAUGAUUGGACAAGUCAAAAGGACAUGUUGGUGAAAGAAUAUGAGGAGAAACUCCAAGAUUUGCAGCAGAGGUUACAAGAGAAAGAAAAUGAGCUAAAAGCACAACAGAGUUCCCCUCAAGAAAAUGGCGAGACUGUUAAUGAGUGCCUAAUCAACAAUACAAACACCUCAGAGAAUGAUCUUCAGAGAAAGCUAGUAGAGGCUGAGAAUGAGAAGCAAAAACUCCACAAAGAUUUCUCCAGACUACAGAAAGACUUUCGGUCUCUAAGGAAAGAGCAUGAGAAGGAGCUGGAAUUCCUGAAGAAGGAAAUGGCUGAGGAGACCGAGAAAAAGCUGAAGCUCGAAAUGGAAGAUAUGGAAUUGAAACACAAUUCUGCUCUUAAGCAGUUGAUGGAGGAGUUUAAUACUCAGAUGGCCCUGAAAGAAAAGGAACUGGAAGGUCCUGUGAAGGAAACCAUUGAGAAAGCUCAGGGUGUUGAAGCUGAGCUUAUAACUACACAUGGAGAUGAAGUCAGUCAGCUUCAGAAAACAAUCGCUCAGAAGGAAGAAGACCUGAACAGAAUGGUUCAGCGUUAUGAACAGGUCCUUCAGAGUCGUGAGGUGGAGAUGGGCGACCGUGUGUGGGAGGUGCAGAAGGAGUUAGAGGAGCUACAGCAGAGGAGUCUCAGUGGCCCUCAGGGUCUUGAAGAGUUAAAGGUUCAGCUUGCAGAAAAGACCACCAUGUUGAGCGAGGCCAGGCUAAAAGAGCAGGAAUACCACGACAGGAUUCAUGCACUAGAAGACAAACUAAGACGCUCCCAUAAAGCCACAGUGGUGACUCACCUGGGAAGCUCAUAUAGAGAUAUGUCACACAACAGCGCGGACCCCUUCAGCGAGCCGACUGAAUUCGAGUACCUCAGGAAGGUCAUGUUUGAGUACAUGAUGGGAAGAGAGACAAAGACAAUGGCCAAAGUUAUAACAUCCAUGCUGAAGUUUCCUCCGGACCAGGCGCAGAAGGUUCUGGAGCACGAGGAUUCCCGUGUGCUGCCUUGGCUCCGGUAAGAUGGAACCAGAACCGUGCUGCUGCUGCUGAGAGAUGCUACUGACCUGAAAGAGCCUGCUCUACUUCUCCGUGUGUGUGUGUGUGUGUGUGUGUGUGUGUGUACACGAGUAAUAGUACCAGGGAAUUUGGUUAGAUUCAGAAAUUGAAGCAAUGUAAAGAAUAUUCUUAAAUUUGUAGCUUGCCAGAAAUAAUUUAUCAAAUGUAUCUUUCUUGCUUUCUCUUUUUAUUUUAUUAUUAUUAUUUUUAAUAAUAAUAAUUUAGACGGUUCUUUCUUUAAAGCUGCGUUUCUAUGAUUUGACAACUUGUGCAAUAAGUUUGACUGUAAGUUUCAGUUUGGUCGAUUCUCUCAAUUCUUCCUGAAUUAUUUCAUUUUUAUUCCUGUUUUUCUCUGUUUUAAGGUUAGAUGAAAUUACCCUUGAACUAUCUGCACGGCACAUGUACGAUAUAAAGACACCGGCUCAUAGUAUGCUGAUUGUUUAUUAUGUUUUUGUAACUUAAUACUGUAUUUUCGGGGGAAACUGACUAACUAGAACCACACUUCAUAUUGUAAAUAAUCAUUGUUAGGAAAAAAAGGCUAUAAAUCUGUCAUAAGGCACUUUGAGGCAGUUAAUACAUUUUAAGACAACUAAUAAAGUUUUAUUUACAGUA